rnacentral:rRNA from 1 species
UACGUAGGGUGCGAGCGUUGUCCGGAAUUAUUGGGCGUAAAGGGCUCGUAGGCGGUUUGUCGCGUCGGGAGUGAAAACCCAGGGCUUAACCCUGGGCUGGCUUCCGAUACGGGCAGACUAGAGGUAUGCAGGGGAGAACGGAAUUCCUGGUGUAGCGGUGAAAUGCGUAGAUAUCUGGAGGAACACCGGUGGCGAAGGCGGCAUCCUGGACCGGCAUUGACGCUGAGGCGCGAAAGCUAGGGGAGCAAACGGG